GCCCGCGCCUAGAAUGCUGGACGUGUCAGCCGCUGAGUACACCUUUCCCCGGCCUGUGAAGGGUUCCUCGCCGCAGCACUGAGUUCCUUUGCCGGGUUGGGGGCGUGGGGGGCGUUUGAGUCGUGCACCAGGGACCUUGAGGGCUGAGGUGCGGCUUCUCAGCGGACUUUGGCUCUCGGUCCCCUCGCCGUCCACGCCGGCACCUGGACGCCUGCCCAGCUGCACGCGCGCCCUCGGAGGCCCCUCUUAGGAACGCUUUUCCUGGGCAGAUAAGCACUCUUCCGGCCAGCGGCGCAUUUCGACUCUCCCCCGGAAUCUGGACUAAAGCCGGCCGGACUAUAGAUAAACAGCUCUGUGGUGAGGGGCAGUUUCUGGAUCAGAGAUCUGCAAUAGUCGCACCGAAGAACUGAGUUAACUCUGAUUUUUCGACUCUUAGCCAAUAUCUCAGCGAGGAAAUUCCCAGACUCAGUGGUGGAAUAAGCUUGCAGGAUCUUAGUUCCCUGACCAGGGAUCGAACCCGUGCCCCCUGCAGUGGAAGCGUGGAAUCCUAACCACUGGAUCUCCAGGGAAUUCCCUCUAAGUGAUAUUUUCUAAUUGUUGUUGCUGCAGUCCAGGGCUUCCCCAGUGGCGCAGUGGUUGAGAAUCUGCCUGCCAAUGCAGGGGACAACGGUUCGAGCCCUGGUCUGGGAAGAUCCCACAUGCCACGGAGCAACUAGGCCCGUGAGCCACAACUACUGAGCCUGCGCGUCUGGAGCCUGUGCCCCGCAACAAGAGAGGCCACGACAGUGAAAGGCCCGCGCACCGCGAUGAAGAGUGGCCCCCGCUUGCCGCAACUAGAGAAAGCCC